CAAUAUUGAUAAGCAUACCACAAAUGUAAGAAGCAAAUGCCCGGAAGUUGAUACCCUUCCAAAAGUAAUAGGGGCUGCUAGAAGAGGAAGAGUAUAAAGGAGCAACUCUAAUCAAGCCUUUGCGCACGAAAUAGUAGUCGGCAAUGAUAACGCCAGCAAAUGAAGACAAAAAGACGGAGUAUGAGGAUAAAUAAGUUGUGAAGUUAUUGUUUGAGCUUAAUAAAUUCCAUGGGCACAUGCAGAGGGCAAUAAUAGAGGCGAUGUAACCACCACGACGAACAUUAAUUACAGUAGGCAAGAGAGCUGACAAAUCGUUACCCGCAGAAACCGAAUUAGCAGCAAUGUUGACACCGAGUUGAGCGAUACACAAACCAAAUGCGAUGAAAAAGACACCGGCACGAACACCGUGGGCGUUAGAGUGAUCGAGGAAAGAGGCAAGCAAUUGAGUAGGAUCCCAAAGAGUCGUGCCAUAAAUGGCUUUGGAUGCAGAACUAAC